AGAUUUUUUGAAAUAUUCUCCCGAUAUCUCCGCGACGUCGCCGAUUCCACUUCCUUCUUCAUCAAAAGUUGAUUAAAACUCAAAUUCGACAAUCUGGAAGCAUUAUCUCGUUGUUCUCCUCAUUCAUCUUUUUCUAGAAUCCAAUCGCAGGUGAUUUUAAACCCUUUUUCUUCUGUUUAUUUUUUUUUUUUUGCAAUCUCCGAUUUUCAUUAUACUUCGACUUCGACGAUUCAGUUUUGGAUUUUGUGUCUCAAUUAGUUUAUGAGUUAGUGUUGUUUUUUGCCUGUUUUCUGUUUUUGAUUGUGAUUGGGAUUUCGGGUUGAAGUAUUCUCUUUUCUGGGUUCAUGACUUCAUGUAUUCUGUUUGUUUUGCUAGGUCGGUGUGUGUGAAAUUUAGAUUAGAGGUUGGAAAUUCAUUGUUAUUACGAAUUUGUUUGGUUUUCUUUGAGACCCACUUUAUUGCGAGGUCGCCGAGGUGUGUAUGUUAGUGGGUUGUUUUCAAGGAAUUGCUCUCCGCCUCUCUUAAAAUGCUGUAUUUUAUUCAGUUUGACUUUGAAUAGCUUCCCAUUUUGGUUCGUAUGAGGAGUAAUAUAUACAAUUCUGGAUCUGUUAAAGCCUUAUACUUGUUAAAUUUAUGAAAAACGGAGUAUUGAUGUAUGUGAGAGUAUCUGGCACACUUAAUAAAAUUCUGAUAUGAUAUAAAAUGAUUUUUAAUAUCCACUAUAAUUUUUAUACAAGCAUGAACGUGAAAACUAAAAGUUGUGUGAUUGAUUUCAAAACGUUAUAAUAAUGUCUAGAGUUGUGUAAGUGCAUCAAGAAUCAUUAUAAUAAUGUCUUGUCUUGUUUCAAAUUUAACAUAGAUUAUUGUGUCUUUGUCUUUGAUGCCGUGUUUUAGAGAAUUGACUCUGUGUGAUAUAUUGAUAUUUGCUGAUGAUUUUCGAUUUGUUCAUCUUUGUUGAAUUGUUGUUUUGUUUGCUUGUUUUCCAUCACUUUGCAGAUGGAUUCUUCAUCACCACCUCACUUGAAUGACAAUGACGACCUGGAAGAUGAAGUUGCAGAUGAUAUUGGGAGUGCUCCUGCAAGUGGAAACAAGAGGAAGAGGAAAGAAGUUCCUACAUCUACUUCACCGAAGGCUAAGUCUAAGCCAAAGGAAAAGGCUAAGAAGAAAGUGUUUAGCACAAGAUCACCUGUAUGGGAGCACUUCACAAGAACAAAAGAGGAUGCAUAUGUAUGCUUGUGUAACUACUGUGGUAAAAGCUUUGCUUGUGCGAGUACUAAUGGGACAACUAGCUUGAAUAAACAUCUCACAAUCUGCAAGGAACAUCUAGCUUGGGUGGAAAUUAAAAAAGAGAGUCAGAAUGUUUGUGUUCGUUUUUUACGUUUGGCAUUUGAAUUUGUUUGGAUUUGUUGGUUAUUUUUGGUUUAAUUCGGUUUAGGAUUUAAUUAUUCAUGAAUUUUUCGGUUAUCUCGGUUUAUUCGGGUUUUUCGGGUCUAAAACCGAACCGAAUCAAUUGGAAUUUUUUUUUGGUUCUGUAUCGGGUUUUGAUUUAAUCUCUAAACCCGACCCGAACCCGAGAAGACCCGAACCGAACCGAACCGAAAAAUUUUCGGUUCCAAAACGGGUUUAAUCAGAUCAAUAUUUCGGGACCCGAAAACCGUGGACCCGAUCCGAACCCGACCCGCGGACCCGUAUGCCUAGGCCUUGUGUAGCGUCGUUAUGGAUCACUGAUAAUGCCUUAACUGAUGUGCAGAUCAUGCCGAUAAGCUACAGUGAGCCUUCCUCUGAUGAUGAACCCAUUGAAGACUUGCGUUGGGCCUAC
rnacentral:lncRNA from 1 species